rnacentral:lncRNA from 1 species
UCAAGGAUGGUAUGAUUCAGAGUAUUGGACUCACUGAUGAAGCACUAUCAACAUACAAUCCUCGUAUACUGAAAUAUCUGGAAACUCAAGUCAGGGAGAAGUGCUCAAGGACUAGCAAGGGAAGACUAACUGCUGAACUGCUAUAUGCCUAUCGUCUGAACUUUGCUGCUCUGAGAGAAUUAGACUUAUCAGCCAUCAAUCGUCAACCACCAUAUCCACUGCCUCCACUAGACCCUGAAGUUCCUGAAAAUCCAAAUGCACCUGUUGUUACUUACAAUCCUACAUCUGUAAUAUUCAAGAAGAAGAAAGACUCUGAAGUCACUGCUAUACCACUCACAGAGAUUGGAAAACUCAAUUCCA